rnacentral:rRNA from 1 species
GGCGAUCAGAUACCGCCCUAGUUCUGACCGUAAACGAUGCCAACUAGCGAUCCGCCAGUCGACUCAUCGCUCUGGUGGGGAGCUUCCCGGAAACGAAAGUCUUCCGGUUCCGGGGGAAGUAUGGUUGCAAAGCUGAAACUUAAAGGAAUUGACGGAAGGGCACCACCAGGAGUGGAGCCUGCGGCUUAAUUUGACUCAACACGGGGAAACUCACCCGGCCCGGACACCGUAAGGAUUGACAGAUUGAUAGCUUUUUCAUGAUUCGGUGGAUGGUGGUGCAUGGCCGUUCUUAGUUCGUGGAGCGAUUUGUCUGGUUUAUUCCGAUAACGAGCGAGACUCUGGCCUACUAAAUAGUUGACGCAUUGCCACUGUGCGCACAACUUCUUAGAGGGAUUUUCUGUGUUUUCAACCGCACGAAAUUGAGCAAUAACAGGUCUGUGAUGCCCUUAGAUGUCCGGGGCUGCACGCGCGCUACACUGGCAAACGCAACGUGCCUGUCCUGCCCCGAAAGGAGCGGGUAAACCCCUGAAAUUUUGCCGUGAUUGGGAUCGGACAUUGCAACUAUUGUCCGUGAACGAGGAAUUCCUUGUAGGGGCGAGUCAUCAACUCGUCCUGAAUACGUCCCUGCCC